rnacentral:rRNA from 1 species
AGGGCUUGUAUGAAUGGUUUAACGAGCGUGAAGCUGUCUCUUAUAAAUAGAUAAAAAUUAACCUGCAGGUGCAGAGGCCUGCAUGCCAAUGAAAGACAAAAAGACCCUGUCGAGCUUCAUUCACACUACCAGAGAAUUAAUAAUUCCUCUGAUAAAGAAUUUUGUUGGGGCGACACAAGAGAACACGAAACCUCUUUAACUACCGAGGUAAAUAAACCAUUAAACUGACCCGAUAUAUCGAUCAAAAAACAAAGCUACCGCAGGGAUAACAGGCUAAUCCUUUUUAAGAGUUCACAUUGACAAAAGGGUUUGGCA